UGGGAAUCUUGGACAAUGGGGGAAACCCUGAUCCAGCCAUGCCGCGUGAGUGAUGAAGGCCUUCGGGUUGUAAAACUCUUUCGACGGGGACGAUAAUGACGGUACCCGUAGAAGAAGCUCCGGCUAACUUCGUGCCAGCAGCCGCGGUAAUACGAAGGGGGCUAGCGUUGUUCGGAAUUACUGGGCGUAAAGCGCGCGCAGGCGGCUAUCCAAGUCAGUGGUGAAAGCCCGGAGCUCAACUCCGGAACUGCCAUUGAAACUGUUUAGCUUGAGGACGAGAGAGGUGAGUGGAAUUCCCAGUGUAGAGGUGAAAUUCGUAGAUAUUGGGAAGAACACCAGUGGCGAAGGCGGCUCACUGGCUCGUAUCUGACGCUCAGGCGCGAUAGCGUGGGGAUCAAAC
rnacentral:rRNA from 1 species